CUCCCACCCGGGCCCCGCGGCGAUGACUGGGCCACCCCCUGGCCUUCCUUCUCUCAGCCCUCAGGUCCCGAGAGCCCCGGCCCAGAGCGGCCUCUGCUGGACAGUCAAGACACGAGACCCUGGGUUCAGCAAAUGUUUGCAGCGCCUUGCACUGUGCUGGGAACUAGGGAUGCAAAGAAAUGUGAGAAAAUGAAGGCACAGAGAAGACAAUGUUCUCAAGGUCGCAUAACUGGGUCUUGCUCUGUCUCCCAGGAUCCAGGAUGGAGUGCAGUGGCAUGAUCAUGGCUCACUGUAGCCUCGAACUUCCUGCUUCAGCCUCCUGAGUAGCUGGAACUACAGGUGUGUAUCAUCAUGCCUAGCUAAUUUUUUUUUUUAAUGUUUUAUAGGGAUGGGGUCUCUGUGUGCUGCCCAGGCUGGUCUUGAAUUCCUGGGCUCGAGCAAUCCUUCAGACUCAGCCUCCCAAAGUGCUGGGAUUACAGGUGUGAGUCACUGCACCUGGCCAAAUUUGUUUUGUUUGACAUGACAUGCUAACUUCAUAGAGAAAAUGUCUCACAAAUACUGAAGCCUAAAUAACCAUAGUUUGUCUGUUAAUAAUGUUUUCAAAUGAAAAUAGUGUUUCAUAAAAAAGUGGCUAGGUUAGCUUUCAAUUCAUCACAUACAUACAUUUCCUUGGAACAACCACUUACUUUGGUAUUCAGCAAAAAUGCUUUAUGCAUACUUUUCAUUCAUUUAUAUGAAAAAGAUGUGUGUUCAAGAUCAAGAUUUUAUAAAAAUUAAGAAUUUUUGCUGCUUCAUUAAGGACAUUCAUAAGGACAUGAAUGGUGGUAAUACAAUGACUACUAGUAUAGUUUGGUGCCACUGCCUACAUUUGUGUUAAAGCACCAGAAGUUUUAUCCACAAUUGCUUUUGUAGCAUCAAUGGAAAAAUCAAAAUGCAAAAAAAGAGAUAAAUAACAUCUUAGUAAUAUUAUGAAAAUAGCUUUGACUCCACAGAUGUAAAAGGAUCAGACUCCUAGGAGUUUGUGAACCACACUUUGAGAACUGCUGGCCUAGAGAAAUAUCUUAGAAAAUUGUGAAGGACAUUAACUGUUUCAACUGCCUAGAGUAUCCCUUUCUUCAGGUAAGUGUUCUUUCCUCUGCUUUAAGCAACUAGUUUCAAUGGCGGUGGCUAUUUUCCUAUGGAGGCUGCCUCCUACCCUAUGGGUGACUGGUAUAGGGUAGACACCAGCCUCUUUAUAUUCAGUAUACUUUCUCAGAAUUCUUAAACUUGGAACCAGAAAAUGUCACUAAUAGUUGCUCUCUGGGAACAAAGUUAUGAAGUUCUGGCAUUUUGGUGAACCACCCAAGCAUGUAGAAAAAGCUAGUCUAAAAUAGGAUAGAUAAACCCAACUCUCAGAGAGAACCAGAAAUGGGAGAAGGCUUGGUAGCAUUCCAGUCCCUGGUUCCACUUGUCCUUGAGGCUCGACCACAUUCUUGCCCUUCCUGCUACUCUGUAAGCAUUUUGAUAAAUUUCCCUUGCCUCUAAACACUUUAUAUUUUCACAAACUUUAUGAGUUUGUCCAACUGUCUUUUUUUCUGAACACUUUUGCUAGCAUCAGUUGUUACACAGUUUAGUAGAUUCCACUUCAGAUUACGCUGAAUUUGAGUUUUCUCGACUUUGAAAAUAUUCUUGACUGCAGUUUUACUCAGACCAUUCAUAGAGGCUAUGAAUUCAUGUUAUUCACUUCAAAGUCAGUAUUAAAUUAUCAAAUAAACAUCAACAACUGAAUAGUGUUUGGUAACAACUGUCAACUCAUCAAGAGCCAAAGAAAAACACUAGAAAUUAUUUUCCUUCUUUCUUAAUUUAUCCAAAAUUGACUCCCAACAUCCUCAACUUAUUAAGCAACUGUUCUCACAGAAAGAUUAAUAAUCUAAACAAGUUUACUUUCUUUGUACAUCUUUUUUUUGCUGUUAUUGUUGCUACAAUUGAAUAAAAUAUAAUUAACUUGCACCUGGUAAAUGGCUUUUCUUGCUUGACUAAAAACCAAACUACUUGGAAACUUACUUUGGUUGAAGAUUCAUUUCAGACUUUUGUGGGAAAAAUCUACUGAGAUAUUUUGUUUUGAAGUUUCAAAUUUUUCUGACUCAGGGAGUAUUGUACAUCAAAGAUAGUGUGGCAAUUAUUUAGUCUGGUACUGUAGACCUAUGUUGUAUUCUUCUAAAGUAGCAAUGACAUAAUAACAUGUAUAAAACACAAUGCUUACAAUUGAUUUAGAUAACAAAAUAAUCUACUUUCCAUUCUAUUUUUAAAAUGUGAUAUUCAAAAUCUGUUUUUCUCUUCAUUUUCUUGUUUGUUUUAUUUUGGCAAGAUGCG
rnacentral:lncRNA from 1 species